rnacentral:rRNA from 1 species
GUGUCAGCCGCCGCGGUAAUACGAAGGGGGCGAGCGUUGUUCGGAAUUACUGGGCGUAAAGGGCGCGCAGGCGGCUCUUCAAGUCAGGCGUGAAAGCCCCGGGCUUAACCUGGGAAUUGCGCUUGGGACUGGAGGGCUUGAGUUCGGGAGAGGAGAGUGGAAUUCCCAGUGUAGAGGUGAAAUUCGUAGAUAUUGGGAAGAACACCGGUGGCGAAGGCGGCUCUCUGGACCGAUACUGACGCUGAGGCGCGAAAGCGUGGGGAGCAAACAGGAUUAGAAACCCCUGUAGUCC